rnacentral:lncRNA from 1 species
UUGCUCCGAAUCCAUUCGACGCCGAGUUGCCGUACGCAGCUGGCCGGCCCACUUAAAUGCCAGAACCAGCGACCCAUCCACCUUGACCUGCGCGACCAUGGGCUCCUGGCCCCAGCCAUCCAGCCCUGCCAGGUUAUACCCGUACGGCAGUAACGUCCGUGCAGGCAACCGCUCGCUAUAGGCCCGCUGACGAGCCUCCGUUACCCCUGCCUGGCGCUGCACCACAGCCCCGCGCCAGUGCAGGGCCGGCACUUCAGCAAAUUUGACGAAGGGAGCAGCCACCACUGUGUUCGAGGGGGGGUGCAGCACAAGUCCUCGGCACAUGGCCUCCACGGAGCCCAGGACCGCACCCGACCUACCGAAAAGGAGGGGGAAAAGGGGAGGUGGCAGAUGCCAUAGUCUGCGAGGUUUAAUGCAGGACCGGGAGAUCAAUCCGAGAUGAUAGGAAAACUGGAAGGACGGACGGAGGGAGGUUAC